UUUUUGGAUGUCUCCUCUUCAAGUGCUGGUUUCUCUUCAAAUAAUAGUUCGUUAGGUGUUUCUUCCCGUUUUGGUUCUUCAGGUGCUUCUUCAGUUAUUGGUUUUGCAGCUUUCUCCUCAAUUGUCUCCUCAACCAAUGGUUCUUCAAGCUUCUCUUCCAUUGUUGUUUCUUUAGGUUUCUCUUCAAUUGCCGGUGGUUCAGGUUUUUUCUCAUCCACUGGUUCUUCUGGCUUCUCUGAAACUGCUGUUUCUUCUGAUUUCUCUUCAAUUGCUUGUUCUUCAUGUUUUUUUUCAACUACUGGCUCUUCAGUUUUUUCCUCAACUGAUGCAUAGUCAGCAAUGUCGUUGGUAUUGCAUGGAAUUGCAUUGUCUGUCUUGUCCUUUGAGUUUACAAUUGGCAAAUUAUGCAAGAAAAUUUUAAGUUUCAUUUAGUCUUUCAACAGAUAAACUUAUGUAAAUUCGUUGCACAUAUAAAGCUAAUAUGAUGGAUAGUUUUUAUGACAGUGUUUAUUUGUCACCUUCUCCUGAAGAGCUUCUGUUUCAGGUUCUUCCUCUUCAAUUGCUGGUUUUUCAUCUUUCUUUUCAACAACUAGUUCUUCAGAUGUGUCUUCAACUGUUGGUUCUUCAGGUUUCUCUUCAAGAGCUAGUUCUUCAGGUGUUUCCUCCCCUGCAAGCUCUUCAGGUGUUUCUAUAGUCGCCGGUUCUUCAGGUUUCUCUGUAAUCUCUAGUUCAGGUUUCUCCUCAACUGGUACUUCAGAUUUCUCCUCAAAUGUUGGUUCUUCAGGUUUCUCCUUAAUAGCUGGUACACCAGGUUUCUCUUCAAUGAGUGGUUCUUCAGUUUUUUCUUCAACUGCCGAUUCUUCAGGAUUUUCCUCACUGUCUGGAGAGUGUGCAACAUCAUUAUUGGUAUUGCAUGGGAUUUCACUGCCAGUUUUUUCGUUCGAGUCUACAAUUAGCAUAUUCUGCAAAAAGAAUUUAAUGUUUCACUUAGCCUUUCAAUAAAGAUGCAGAUGUGAAUCAUAGUACAUACAUAACUAACAAAAUGGAUAAACUUUGUGAUAGUGCUUGACCCUUACCUUUUCCAAAAGAGUUACCUUUUCAGGUUUCUCCUCUUCCAUGGCUGGUUCUUCAUGUAUCUCUUCAAAUGCUAGUUCCUUAGGUGUUUCUUCAAUUACUUGUUUUUCAGGUUUCUCCUCAAUUUUUGGUUCUUUGAUUGUCUCCUCAACUGAUGGUACUUCAAGCUUUUCUCCCACGGUUGGUUUUUCAGGUUUCUCUUCAACUGUCGGUUGUUCAGGUAUUUUCUCAACCGCUGGUUCUUCUGGUUUCCCCGAAACCCUUGAUUCUUCAGAUUUUUCUUCAAUUGCUGAUUCUUCAGAUAUCUCUUCAACUAUUGCUUCUUCAGUUUUUUCCUCAACUGAUGCAUAGUCAGCAAUGUCAUUGUUGGUAUUGCAUGGAAUUGCAUUGUCUAUUGUGUUCUUUGAGUUUACAAUUGGAAAAUUCUGCAAGAAAAUUUAAAGUUUCAUCUAGUCUUUCAAUAGAUAAACAUGUAAAUGCGUUGCACAUAUAAAGCUAAUAUGCUGAAUAAACUUUGUGAGAGUUAAUUCUCACCUUCUCCUUAAGAGCUUCCAUUUCAGGUUCCUCCUCUUCAAUUGCUGUUUUUUCAACUUUCUCUUCAACAACUAGCUCUUCAGAUGUAUCUUCAACCGUUGGUUCUUCAGGUUUCUCUUCAAGUGCUAGUUCUUCAGGUGUUUCUAUUGCUGCCGGUUCUUGAGGUUUCUCUUCAGUCUCUGGUUCUUGAGGUUUCUCCUCAGCUGGUACUUCAGAUUUCUCCUCAAAUGUUGGUUUCUCCUCAACUGCUGGUACAUCAGGUUUCUCUUCAAUGACUAGUUCUUCAUUUUUUAUUUCAACUGCCGGUUCUUCAGAAUUUUCCUCAAUGUCUGGAGAGUGAGCAACAUCAUUAUUGGUAUUGCAUGGAAUUUCACUGCCAGUUUUGGUGUUCGAGUCUACAAUUAGCAUAUUCUGCAAAAAGACUUUAAUGUUUCACUUAGCCUUUCAAAAGAAGAGCAUGUGAAUCACUGUACAUGCAUAACUAACAAAAUGGAUAUACUUUGUGAUAGUACUUGACCCUUACCUUUUCCAAAAGAGUUACCUUUUCAGGUUUCUCCUCUUUCAUUGCUGGCUCUUUAUGUAUCUCUUCUAAUGCUAGUUCCUUGGGUGUUUCUUCAGUUACUUGUUUAUCAGGUUUCUCCUCAAUUUUUGGUUCUUUGAUCGUCUCCUCAACUGAUGGUUCUUCAAGCUUUUCUCCCACUGUUGGUGUUUCAGGUUUCUCUUCGAUUGUCGGUUGUUCAGGUAUUUUCUCAACCGGUGGUUCUUCUGGUUUCUCCAAAACCCUUGAUUCUUCAGAUUUCUCUUCAAUAGCUGAUUCUUCAGAUAUCUCUUCAACUUCUGGUUCUUCAGUAUUUUCCUCAACUGAUGCAUAGUCAGCAAUGUCAUUGUUGGUAUUGCAUGGAAUUGCAUUGUCUGUUGUGUUCUUUGAGUUUACAAUUGGCAAAUUCUGCAAGAAAAUUUGAAGUUCCAUUUAGUCUUUCAAUAGAUGAAACAUAUUUAAAUUCAUUGCACUUAUAAAGUUAAUAUGCUGAAUAAACUUUGUGACAGUGUUAAUUGUCACCUUCUCCUGAAGAGCUUCCGUUUCAGGUUCCUCCUCUUCAAUUGCUGGUUUUUCAUCUUUCUCUUCAACAACUAGCCCUUCAGAUGUAUCUUCAACUGUUAGUUCUUCAGGUUUCCCUUCAAGUGCUAGUUCUUCAGCUGUUUCUAUAGCUGCUGGUUUUUCAGGUUUCUCUUCAGUUGCCGGUUCUUGAGGUUUCUCCUCAGCUGGUACUUCAGAUUUCUCCUCAAAUUUUGGUUCUUCAGGUUUCUCCUCAACUGCUGGUACAUCAGGUUUCUCUUCAAUGACUGGUUCUUCAUUUUUUAUUUCAACUGCCGAUUCUUCAGGAUUUUCCUCGAUGUCUGGAGAGUGAGCAACAUCAUUAUUGGUAUUGCAUGGAAUUUCACUGCCAGUUUUGGUGUUCGAGUCUACAAUUAGCAUAUCCUGCAAAAAGAAUUUAAUGUUUCACCUAGCCUUUCAAAAAAAGAUCAUGUGAAUCACAGUACAUGCAUAACUAACAAAAUGGAUAAACUUUGUUAUUAUACUUGACCCUUACCUUUUCCGAAAGAGUUACCUUUUCAUGUUUCUCCUCUUCAACGGUUGGUUCGUCAUGUUUCUCUUCAAAUGAUAGUUCCUUAGGUGUUCCUUCAGGUUUCUCCUCAAUUGUUGGUUCUUUGGUUGUCUCUCCAACCAAUGGUUCUUCAAGCUUUUCUCCUCCAACUGUUGGGUUUUCAGGUUUCUCUUCAAUUGUCGGCUGUUUAGGUAUUUUCUCAACCUCUGGUUCUUCUGGUUUCUCCAAAACCCUUGAUUCUUCAGACUUCUCUUCAAUAGCUGAUUCUUCAGAUUUCUCUUCAACUACUGGUUCUUCAGUUUUUUCCUCAACUAAUGCAUAGUUAGCAAUGUCAUUGUUGGUAUUGCAUGGAAUUGCAUUGUCUGUAUUGUCCUCUGCGUUUACAAUCGGCAAUUUCUGCAAGAAAAUUUAAAGUUUCAUUUUGUCUUUAAAUAGAUAAACAUAUAUUAAUUCGUUGCACAUAUAAAGCUUAUAU
rnacentral:lncRNA from 1 species